rnacentral:rRNA from 1 species
GAAGAAAGAGGGGGGCGUGCUUAACACAUGCGAGUCGAACGGAAAGGCCCUGCUUUUGUGGGGUGCUCGAGUGGCGAACGGGUGAGUAACACGUGAGUAACCUGCCCUUGACUUUGGGAUAACUUCAGGAAACUGGGGCUAAUACCGGAUAGGAGCUCCUGCUGCAUGGUGGGGGUUGGAAAGUUUCGGCGGUUGGGGAUGGACUCGCGGCUUAUCAGCUUGUUGGUGGGGUAGUGGCUUACCAAGGCUUUGACGGGUAGCCGGCCUGAGAGGGUGACCGGCCACAUUGGGACUGAGAUACGGCCCAGACUCCUACGGGAGGCAGCAGUGGGGAAUAUUGCACAAUGGGCGGAAGCCUGAUGCAGCAACGCCGCGUGCGGGAUGACGGCCUUCGGGUUGUAAACCGCUUUCGCCUGUGACGAAGCGUGAGUGACGGUAAUGGGUAAAGAAGCACCGGCUAACUACGUG